GGCUCGUUAGCUCAGGUGGUUAGAGCGCCGGCCUAAAAAUUUGAACUUCGGAGGACGCAGGUUCGAAUCCUGCACGAGCCC
rnacentral:tRNA from 1 species